rnacentral:lncRNA from 1 species
GAAUGGCUGGCCUAACACAGAGAAGCAUGGCUGAGGGGAAGGCAAGGCUGUGCUGGGGAGAAAGAGAGGAGAGAGCAAGCAGUGGCCACACAAUGGCAGCUACCACAGACAGGGCAUGUGACAGAACAACAGUCAAGAGCAGCCUUCCUACCUUGCCACAACCAAACAGGCCUGCCUGGCAGGUAACCCCCCAUGUGCCUCGGGGCCCCUCACACCAGCUACCCUUUCCCAGCUGCCCCCAGCUUCAGGAGCCACCUUCAAGAGAAGCCCUCCCAAGCACAGGUCAAGCUCCCUGAGCCCACACUCUGAGCACCCUAUGCUCUGUGUUCUACUGCAUUGGGACCCUCGUGGAGCCGGCACUGGGUCUGACUACCCUCUCCCAUCAGAGACCAGACCCUGCAGUGAGGACUCCAGUGACCUAGCCCUGUGAUCUACUCUGUGACCUCCUCUCCUGCCCUUCCGCCGGCAACAUUGCUGCGGCUGGCUCCUUUCUGCUAUGGGACAGGCUUGUGUGUGCCCACCUCCAAGGUAUUUGUUCAUCUGUCCUUUUUAGAAUAUUCUUCCCCAAGAUACACAAGCAGCUCGUCCUUCGGUUUCUUCAGAUCUUUACCCAAA